CCGAAUAUCACACAUAUUCACACAAAGGUCGAAUUACCUAGGGAUUUAGCAUAUUCUUGCUGAAACCUUUAAAUAUUUGAGUUAGUCUAAGUUUUAAAUCUUUUUUUUUCUCUUGAUUGUUGCUGAGCAUUGAGGGUUUAUAGAGUAAAGGUCUUCCAAGUUCAUUAUCGAUCAAGGCUUCACCAAGAAAAGAUUUACAAGCACGGGAGAAUAAGUGUUAAGUGGUAGGAGAUCAAUCAGGUAGUCAGGUAGAUGGACCUGAGCCUUAGGAGCUUUAUUAGCGGAGUUUUAGAAAGGCUCUAAUCAUCCCGGAGCUACAGCUUCAUGGUAUCACUCUUGUGUAUACAUGGAGUUGGGAAUGGCAUAGUCCUACCCCGUUCUUAUGGAUUCCUAUAUUCUAUAUAUAGAGGCUUAUGGACCGAUAUUGGUGUAUUGUAGUUGGACAGCCUUGUUGGCUUAUGUUUAUGGGCAUGGUUGCUAAAGAUUACAUAAUAACAUGCCAUUAUUUUGUGAUACAUGUCCUUGCAGAGUAUGAUGCAUAUGAGCUAGCUUAUAGCCUACCUAGGAGUGACUAUGAGAUGUAUGUUUAGAGGUACUCAGUAGGUUAGUUCCGGCUGCCCGUCAUGGCCCUCUAGUUAGGUCGUGACAUGACCAUAGCCCAAUAUUCACGUAAAUUUACUUUCUUAUUU